rnacentral:rRNA from 1 species
CCUACGGGAGGCAGCAGUAGGGAAUUUUCGGCAAUGGGGGGAACCCUGACCGAGCAACGCCGCGUGAACGAAGAAGUUAUUCGUAAUGUAAAGUUCUUUUAACAGGGAAGAAAGAGAAAUUUGACGGUACCUGAAGAAUAAGCUCCGGCUAACUACGUGCCAGCAGCCGCGGUAAUACGUAGGGAGCGAGCGUUAUCCGGAAUUAUUGGGCGUAAAGGGUGCGUAGAUGGCAUAGUAAGUCUUUUGUAAAAUUGCUGGGCUCAACCCAGUAGGGCAAAAGAUACUGCAAAGCUAGAGUAUGAAAGAGGAAAGUGGAACUACAGGUGUAGCGGGAAAAGGCGUAAAUAUAUGUAAGA